GCCUUGAAGAACCUCCACUAAAGGGAUAAGUCCUGCAGGUCCCACGAAUUACGCCCUCAGAGUCCGAUCUUGGCUCAGAAGGAACGCUGGCAGCGUGCAUAACACAUGCAAGUCGAGCGCGGAAGGAUCCUUUCGGGAGUCUGGAAGAGUGGCGAACGGGUGAGGAACACGUAAGAGUCUACCUUCUCGGUUGGGGAUAACCUCUGGAAACGGGAGCUAAUACCCAAUAUGCUGUGGAGUGAAAGAAUUCUCGCCGAGAGACGAUCUUGCGUCUGAUUAGCUUUGUUGGAGUGGUAAUGGCACCCCAAGGCGACGAUCAGUAGCUGGUCUGAGAGGAUGGACAGCCACAUUGGGACUGAGACACGGCCCAGACUCCUACGGGAGGCAGCAGUGGGGAAUUUCUCCGCAAUGGACGAAAGUCUGACGGAGCGACGCUGCGUGAAGGAUGAAGGCCCGUGGGUUGUAAACUUCUUUCUCUCGAAGAAGAAAAAAAUGACGGUAUUCGAGGAAUAAGCAUCGGCUAACUCUGUGCCAGCAGCCGCGGUAAGACAGAGGAUGCAUGUUUUAUUCGGAAGGAUUGGGCGUAAAGAGUCUGUAGCGGUUUAGAAAGCCUUUUGUGAAAUACUUCAGCUCAACUGAGGCUCCGCAAAAGAAACUUCUAGACUUGAGGAAAGUAGAGGUACAGGGAAUUUCCGGUUGGAGCGGGUGAAAUGCGUAGAUAUCGGAAGGAAACCCAAUAUUGGCGAAGGGCACUGUACUGGGCUUUUCCUGACGCUCAGAGACGAAAGCUGAUGGAGUGAUUUAGGAUUAGAUACCCUAGUAAUUUCAGCCGUAAACGAUGAAAACUCACUGUCGAGCCCAUAUAUGGAGCGGUGGUCAAGCUACCGCGUGAAGUUUUCCGCCUGGGGAUUACGCUUGCAAAAGUGAAACUUCAAUGCAUUGACGGGGUCGCCAUAGGCGGUGGAGUAUGUGUUUUAAUUCGAUGCAACGCGAAAAACCUUACCAGGGUUUGAAAUAAUUUCAAAACUUCUUGAAAGAGAAGCCUCCUUCGGGAUGGAAUUACAGGUGGUGCAUGGCUGUCGUCAGCUCGUGUUGUGAAAUGUCAAGUUAAGUCUUGUAACGAGCGCAACCCAUGUCUCUUGUUGCUGUUUACAGUGCUUAAGAGAAACUGCCGAUCAACAUCGGAGGAAGGUGUGGAUGAUGUCAAGUCAGCAUGCCCCUUACAUCCUGGGCUACACACGUACUACAAUGGUCGAGACAAAGGGUCGCUAACCUGCAAAGGCAUGCCAAUCUCAUAAACUCGAUCUCAGUUCGGAUUGUACUCUGCAACUCGAGUACAUGAAGGUGGAAUCGCUAGUAAUCGCUGGUCAGCAUACAGCGGUGAAUACGUUCCCGGGUCUUGUACACACUGCCCGUCACACCAUGGAAGUCGACCCUUCCCUAAGUCGUUACUCGAACCUGUAAAGGACGAGGAACGCCGGAAGGCAGGAGUUGGUGACUAGGGUGGAAGUCGUAACAAGGUAACCAGAGGGCGAAAUUCGCGGCCGCUGAAAUGGCUUACGCCUAGUAGUGAU
rnacentral:rRNA from 1 species